AGAGUUUGAUCAUGGCUCAGGAUGAACGCUAGCGGCAGGCUUAACACAUGCAAGUCGAGGGGUAUAGGUUUUCGGACCUAGAGACCGGCGCACGGGUGCGUAACGCGUAUGCAAUCUACCUUUUACAGAGGGAUAGCCCAGAGAAAUUUGGAUUAAUACCUCAUAGUAUUAUUGAAUGGCAUCAUUUAAUAAUUAAAGUCACAACGGUAAAAGAUGAGCAUGCGUCCCAUUAGCUUGUUGGUAAGGUAACGGCUUACCAAGGCAACGAUGGGUAGGGGUCCUGAGAGGGAGAUCCCCCACACUGGUACUGAGACACGGACCAGACUCCUACGGGAGGCAGCAGUGAGGAAUAUUGGUCAAUGGGCGCAAGCCUGAACCAGCCAUGCCGCGUGCAGGAUGAAGCAUCUAUGGUGUGUAAACUGCUUUUGUACGAGAAGAAACACUCCUACGUGUAGGAGCUUGACGGUAUCGUAAGAAUAAGGACCGGCUAACUCCGUGCCAGCAGCCGCGGUAAUACGGAGGGUCCAAGCGUUAUCCGGAAUCAUUGGGUUUAAAGGGUCCGUAGGCGGUUUUGUAAGUCAGUGGUGAAAGCCCAUCGCUCAACGGUGGAACGGCCAUUGAUACUGCAAGACUUGAAUUAUUAGGAAGUAACUAGAAUAUGUAGUGUAGCGGUGAAAUGCUUAGAGAUUACAUGGAAUACCAAUUGCGAAGGCAGGUUACUACUAAUUGAUUGACGCUGAUGGACGAAAGCGUGGGGAGCGAACAGGAUUAGAUACCCUAGUAGUCC
rnacentral:rRNA from 1 species